AGUGAACGCUGGCGGUAGGCCUAACACAUGCAAGUCGAACGGCAGCACAGGAGAGCUUGCUCUCUGGGUGGCGAGUGGCGGACGGGUGAGGAAUACAUCGGAAUCUACCUUGUCGUGGGGGAUAACGUAGGGAAACUUACGCCAAUACCGCAUACGACCUUCGGGUGAAAGUGGGGGACCGCAAGGCCUCACGCGAUUAGAUGAGCCGAUGUCGGAUUAGCUAGUUGGCGGGGUAAAAGCCCACCAAGGCGACGAUCCGUAGCUGGUCUGAGAGGAUGAGCAGCCACACUGGAACUGAGACACGGUCCAGACUCCUACGGGAGGCAGCAGUGGGGAAUAUUGGACAAUGGGCGCAAGCCUGAUCCAGCCAUACCGCGUGGGUGAAGAAGGCCUUCGGGUUGUAAAGCCCUUUUGUUGGGAAAGAAAUCUUGCCGGUUAAUACCUGGCGAGGAUGACGGUACCCAAAGAAUAAGCACCGGCUAACUUCGUGCCAGCCGCCGCGGUAAGAC
rnacentral:rRNA from 1 species